CUACCCUCCCCAGACCCCAUUAGUGGGAUUAUACUGGUUUGUUGUUGUUGUUGUUGACAGUCACUUCUAUUAAUCAUGCAAAAGUGUUCAUCUAUUUACCUGCCUCCUAAAGGAAAACUUUAGAGAAGCCAAGCAACCCAAUGAUGAUGCUUUUUUAUGAGGUAAAUAGAAUAUAUCGUCUUUGGGCUGCUUGGCUUCCCAAAAAUUUCCCUUUAGGGAUGAUGUAUUUGGUCGUCUGUCCUAAUUUGACGUCUUACCGACCGCCCUCUCUACAAUCAUAUUUCCUUUCACUUGCACAGCUUAAAAUUAAGCACUUACAUUUUGCUUUUUCAAAUGUUUGAAAGAGUUUUUUGAUUAUGUUUUCUCUUGCUUGCAAGCUUCUUGACAAUGUAUUUUCAGGUCCUCAUUUGUUCGACAUUGACUUUAUUUUGUAUUUAUCGUAUAAUCGUAGUUCUCAUGAAAAUUUAGUAGCGUGAAGUUGUUGGAUUCUUGACCGUUUGUAAUGUGAUUCCAGAUCACUCUUUUCUCAGGCUUCGUUAGCUACCAAAUGGUCCGAGAUGCAUAUGAUGCUGGAAGGUCUGGAUUUGGGAGCCUUCUCUCCCUUCAUUCUGUUGGGAAAACUGACAGGAUUUACAUGAAAGGCCCUGGAGGACGUGGGGAAGUUGAAGUAGCUGUGUCUGGUGUUGUAGAUCAAAGCAAGCAGGAGUUCAGCCAUCAAUCUGUAGAUAACGACUCUAGAAAAGGAUUAAGCUUCAGUGCUGUUGUGAGACGAGCUGCAUCAGUUGCAUCAGAGGCAGCAAAGCAUGCAUAUGCUGCUGCUUCUGCUACCCGAGAUGAAGGAAUGAUCCCCCUUAAGUGCUGCUUGAUGUCUAUAUCAUUACCUUGGGAACAUAUUGCUCAUGAUCUUUUGUUCAAGGGAAGUCCUCCAGUUAACCUGUAAGAAUGCCUUGUGGAUUUCAAAGAGGGCCAUAUAAUCUCUUCAGCAAACUCAAUAGAAUAAUAGGACUUAAAAAGUUUUUGACUCUAGAGAUGGAGAAGACUAAAGAACGUUACAGGAAGGCGAGAUGGCUGCUCCAUUAUGAAACAGAAGAAAGUGGUGAUAAUAUGUAUAUAAGUUGGCUAUCUAUUCCCCCACAAGAUUUGCUUCCCAUGCACUGCAUGCUAGCAGAUAACGAACUGUUGUGUUGAAUUGGCAUGCACAAAAUUGCAAGGGAAGGGAAGAUUGGACUGGCUAUUUAUGUACAAAGAUCCGUUAUAGACAAUUGAGAGCGUGUGUGUUGGGGUUGAGAUAUAAUGCGAAACUGUGUGACUUCUUGAGAUCAUAGUGGGAUUCCUUUGCGUAAACCAAUAUUAUUUAAUAUAUGCGUUUUUGUUAUCUU